rnacentral:rRNA from 1 species
GAUGAACGCUGGCGGCGUGCCUAAUACAUGCAAGUCGAGCGAACAGAUAAGGAGCUUGCUCCUUUGAAGUUAGCGGCGGACGGGUGAGUAACACGUGGGUAACCUACCUAUAAGACUGGGAUAACUUCGGGAAACCGGAGCUAAUACCGGAUAACAUUUAGAACCGCAUGGUUCUAAAGUGAAAGAUGGUUUUGCUAUCACUUAUAGAUGGACCCGCGCCGUAUUAGCUAGUUGGUAAGGUAACGGCUUACCAAGGCGACGAUACGUAGCCGACCUGAGAGGGUGAUCGGCCACACUGGAACUGAGACACGGUCCAGACUCCUACGGGAGGCAGCAGUAGGGAAUCUUCCGCAAUGGGCGAAAGCCUGACGGAGCAACGCCGCGUGAGUGAUGAAGGGUUUCGGCUCGUAAAACUCUGUUAUUAGGGAAGAACAAAUGUGUAAGUAACUGUGCACAUCUGGACGGUACCUAAGCAGAAAGCCACGGCUAACUACGG